ensembl:lncRNA
AGGAAGAGAAAAGGGUGCAGGAAAUUAUCAUACGGAUGAAAUUAAGAGGCAGGUAAAUCCAAUUAUCAGCAUGAAAACAGGUAGAAACAUUAAAGGAAGUGGAAAUAAAGUCAGUUAGUGGUUGGAGUCCAGACUUCUGGGGUGUCAGCUGGUGAAUGGUGGCUAAUUUGAUAUAAGCUAAUUGCAUCGUUUGCCUAUUUGAUUUGAGAUCCAAAUCCUGGUCCUUCCAGGCUAAUCACUCCAAAUAAGUGAAUAGCUGGAACAGUUGUGAGAUCUGAUGCAUUCAUUGUUUUGCUUUAAACAGCUCUAUGUUCACGAGGUAAAACGUAAAAAGGAAUGUCCCUUAGAUAAGGUAAAAUGUAGCUGUGAUAUGAAAGCCUUGGAUAUCAGAACAAGAUGAAUGGACUAGACAGUGCGCAGUGGAGGGGAGGGGGUGCGUGUGUGUGUACAAGGGUAAUGAGGAGAGGGUGUAAGGAAAUUUCCUUCCCCUUUGUGCCAUAAGCAGAGGGCAGACACAAUCCUGCUCCAGGGAGCAUAAGGACAGCACCAGUUUCCUAUCAACAGCUGUAUGAGUUUCCAUGAAGUGGACCAAGAGGGCCAAGGGUUAUCCCACCUCCUCUACAUUGGCCAGUGGAGCAAAGCUAAGGAUGAUUACAGUUCUCUUCCCCGAGAUGUUCAGAGUCUGAAUGACCUUGAAAAUUCAAGAGCGAAACUCUGAUACCACAACUUCCUCUUUCCUCCACUGUUUGUGUAUCAGCACACUUCUAGUUUGCUGCUGACCAGAUACUAUAGACCAUGGCUGAAUCCUCUGACUUACUCCUAUGGAGUUCAGUGAAAGCAAAAUGGAUCCAGGCAUCUAUCAUCUCCUACAAGGGAGUUUGGUAACAUCAGGAGGUGGCCAGUAUCAUGAAGCCAAAACACAUGUGCUGCUGCACUGAAGAACCACGUGGCAAAUAUAUAAAAGCAUGGCCUGCAGCAUUCCACAGACACAGAAACCUUCAUGGAAUUUUACCAGCAUCAGGAUUGAUUGCCAGCUUGAGGAUUCUCUAUUGGCAGCAGGUCCAAGAGGGACACCGCUUCUUUCUCUAGAUCCAGUGAAAGUGUACUACAGGCUGGCUCUGGAGGCAGCCCGACUGCUGCAGAAUCCUCAAAUCCCUCUCUCAGAAAUGGACUUGGUAGAAUCAUGGAGCGAUCCGUGUUCUGUAUUUAAUCUUAGAUCAUGAGAAAAAGUUAAAUACUGAAAUGGGAGGCUCAGAUAAAAGUAUUAGCAACACCAAGUAGCUCAAAAAUCAUGAGUUACCCCCCAUCCCCCAAAAUAUCAUGAGAUUGGUUUAAAAUAUGAGAUUUUUAAAUUAUAUAAUUUGGGGGUCCUUUUUAUUUGCUGCCUUGGAUUUUGAAUCCCUGGGCACGCUUGGCUCACAUUUUCUAGCUUUUCUCUUCCAGCAUGGGGGCUAGAAACUUAUUUUUAUUUUAAAUGAAAGCUGAGAUUCUUUCCUAAUCACAUGCCUCCAGGAGCAGGCGCUUUAAGAAGAACAUCAACUAUUGCAAGACUCACAAUAAAAUCACAAGCGUUGGCA